GGGGAAUAUUGGACAAUGGGCGCAAGCCUGAUCCAGCCAUGCCGCGUGAGUGAUGAAGGCCUUAGGGUUGUAAAGCUCUUUCAGCGGGGAAGAUAAUGACGGUACCCGCAGAAGAAGCCCCGGCUAACUUCGUGCCAGCAGCCGCGGUAAUACGAAGGGGGCUAGCGUUGUUCGGAAUCACUGGGCGUAAAGCGCACGUAGGCGGAUCGAUAAGUCAGGGGUGAAAGCCCGAGGCUCAACCUCGGAAUUGCCUUUGAUACUGUCGAUCUUGAGUCCGGGAGAGGUGAGUGGAACUCCGAGUGUAGAGGUGAAAUUCGUAGAUAUUCGGAAGAACACCAGUGGCGAAGGCGGCUCACUGGCCCGGUACUGACGCUGAGGUGCGAAAGCGUGGGGAGCAAAC
rnacentral:rRNA from 1 species